GCCCAGAUAGCGCAGUUGGAAGAGCGACAGACUUUUAAUCUGGAGGUACGGGGUUCUAGCCCUGUUUGGACA
rnacentral:tRNA from 1 species